rnacentral:rRNA from 1 species
CAGUAGCCGCGGUAAUACGUAGGUGGCAAGCGUUGUCCGGAAUUAUUGGGCGUAAAGGGCUCGCAGGCGGUUUCUUAAGUCUGAUGUGAAAGCCCACGGCUCAACCGGGGAGGGUCAUUGGAAACUGGGAAACUUGAGUGCAGAAGAGGAGAGUGGAAUUCCACGUGUAGCGGUGAAAUGCGUAGAGAUGUGGAGGAACACCAGUGGCGAAGGCGACUCUCUGGUCUGUAACUGACGCUGGGGAGCGAAAGCGUGGGGAGCGAACAGGAUUAGAUACCCCUGUAGUCCCUGUCUCUUAUAC